GGACGAUUAGCUCAGUGGAUAGAGCACUUCCCUCCGGAGGAAGGGGCCGGGAGUUCGAGUCCCCCAUCGUCCA
rnacentral:tRNA from 1 species